rnacentral:rRNA from 1 species
AUUGAACGCUGGCGGUAUGCUUAAGACAUGCAAGUCGAACGGUAACAGGUUAAGCUGACGAGUGGCGGACGAGUGAGUAACGCGUGGGAAUCUACCUUGUAGUGGGGGAUAAGCCAGGGAAACUUGGACUAAUACCGCAUACGCCCUAAGGGGGAAAGCGCAAGUCGCUAUAAGAUGAGCCCGCGUCUGAUUAGGUAGUUGGUGGGGUAAAGGCCUACCAAGCCGACGAUCAGUAGCUGGUCUGAGAGGAUGAUCAGCCACGUCGGGACUGAGACACGGCCCGGACUCCUACGGGAGGCAGCAGUCGGGAAUAUUGGACAAUGGGGGCAACCCUGAUCCAGCCAUGCCGCGUGAGUGAAGAAGGCCCUCGGGUUGUAAAGCUCUUUUGUCCGGAAAGAAAAGCAAUCGGUUAAUACCCGGUUGUUCUGACGGUACCGGAAGAAUAAGCACCGG